AGAUGCCAAGGGCAAAAAGUUCAAAAGAUAUUCGUGCUUGCACGAAUAGGCUUUUGACCUUGGGCCCCGCCAAACAUGAGAAAGUAGCGAUUUACAAAGUAAAUCAGCGGAUUUCGAAUGUUUGUAGAAUUGUGAAAGCUGCUUUGCAGCGAAACAAUUCGUCGGCAUCU
rfam:Clostridium sp. CAG:62 genomic scaffold, scf155